AACGAACGCUGGCGGCAGGCUUAACACAUGCAAGUCGAGCGCCCCGCAAGGGGAGCGGCAGACGGGUGAGUAACGCGUGGGAAUCUACCCAACUCUACGGAAUAACUCAGGGAAACUUGUGCUAAUACCGUAUACGCCCUUCGGGGGAAAGAUUUAUCGGAGUUGGAUGAGCCCGCGUUGGAUUAGCUAGUUGGUGGGGUAAAGGCCUACCAAGGCGACGAUCCAUAGCUGGUCUGAGAGGAUGAUCAGCCACACUGGGACUGAGACACGGCCCAGACUCCUACGGGAGGCAGCAGUGGGGAAUAUUGGACAAUGGGCGCAAGCCUGAUCCAGCCAUGCCGCGUGAGUGAUGAAGGCCCUAGGGUUGUAAAGCUCUUUCACCGGUGAAGAUAAUGACGGUAACCGGAGAAGAAGCCCCGGCUAACUUCGUGCCAGCCGCCGCAGUAACAC
rnacentral:rRNA from 1 species